GGUACUCCUUCUCGAUAUGAAUGUAGACCGCUUGCACCAAAUCCUUCAUAACUCCUUGCUCACAGGUCCGAACCUCGAUCUUCCACUUCCAUGAACUAGAUGAAGUCCUUAGCUCCAAGUUUGGGGAAGGGAUAAACCCCGUAUGACAUUGGGAAAGCCCCCGUCUCGUCGGUUCUUCGAGGCGUAUUGCGUAAGACUUGAUCGGGCCGCGAGACAUGUGUUCCUUCCGAUGGUGAUAUCUCCCAG
rnacentral:lncRNA from 1 species